rnacentral:rRNA from 1 species
AUUGAACGCUGGCGGCAGGCCUAACACAUGCAAGUCGAGCGGUAGAGAGGUGCUUGCACCUCUUGAGAGCGGCGGACGGGUGAGUAAAGCCUAGGAAUCUGCCUGGUAGUGGGGGAUAGCGCUCGGAAACGGACGCUAAUACCGCAUACGUCCUACGGGAGAAAGCAGGGGACCUUCGGGCCUUGCGCUAUCAGAUGAGC